GCCGCGGGGGAAGGCGCGGCGGAGGCGGCGGCGGCGAUGGGCGGCGGCACGGCGUCGUGCUCCAGGUCGGGCAGGUCCCAGGAAACCGGCAUCUUGAGAUCCCAAUCCAUGAAUGGGAACGGCGCGGGCGAUGGAUAGCAAGCUCGACCGUUUCCCCGUCGGCCAGUGCAGAGCUAGGCGCCGCGUGCCCGUGCCCGUGCCCGUGCCCGUGGCCGAGCUGGAGCUCUGUGUGCGUGUCUUUCACGGCCAGGACAGUGCCGCGGCCGGUUUGUUGGGUUCCCCUGUCCCUCUCAUCCUAUAGGCCGCUCUGCCGCGGGGAGGGUGGCAACGAGCCAGCCAGACACCGAGGGGAGUUAUUGCCUGGGCACCACCGCGCGCGCACAGAAGCGAACAAAUCGAGCACGGGAACAGGGCAAAUGCCGCAGAUCAGCAGGGGGGGCUGCUGAGCUUAUCCUGAUGGGGAGGAGAGAGAGAGAGAAACAAACAGCCAGCCAGAGGGAGGGAGAUGAGCUGCCGCUAGAGCUAGAUGCCGGGCGGUGCCCGGUGGUGUCGAAGCGAGUGGUGCGCGGAGGGGGAUGUGCUACUGCAGUCUGCUUGGUGGGAGGGGAGCCGUGGAAGUGGAAGUGAGGAACAACCGAACAAGCAGGCGCAAGACCAGCACCAGUGCACCACCACCACCACCACCACCGAGGAAGAGGAGGCCAGGCACAGCCACAGCCAGUACGUGCUCGCAGAGGCAAGUGCAGCGCAGGUGUAUCAGUGUAGUUGUGUGGAUUGCGAGUGGUGUGGUGUGGAGGGCUACCUCUAUCAGCUAGAGCUCAGCUCAGCUUUCAGACCUCAACUGAUGAGGGCGUGGAUCAGUGGAUGGAUGCAUGCCCAUCUUAUACUAAUCACUCGACUCCACUAUUCUAUUAUUACGAUAACAAAAACAAAAACUAUUUUUUUGUAUGGAUUUGUUUUUCUUCGUUCCACUGCGAAAUGCAACAUUGCUUGCAGUAG
rnacentral:misc_RNA from 1 species